AACUUUUUCUUGCACAACCUGUUUACUUUGCAUUACUAAGUCAAAGUGAAUUUGUCUAUGACAUGUUAUACCUUCUCAUAACAAUUUUAAUAUUGUCUCCCAAGAAAUCAUUUCUUGCUGUUUCAUUCACAAUGACAGAAAAUUCUACUAACAAAAAACCCUCUAUUUCAUGAUAUUUAAUCGCAGCAUUGGACACAUGAAAGACAAAAUUUUUCAUUCAACUUCUCUUCUCUUAUCUACGAACAGUUCCUCUUCUUCACCGCAUGGCCGAAGCGUAUUAGAGUAAGGGAUCAAUGGGGAACUGCAUCCCAGCCAUCCCAGCUUCUUGAGUUCUCCAUCAUUUAUAUCAUAGCUAUAUGCCUCGCUAUCUACGGUGAAAACAAGUGACGUGGUCAUCGCCACCUCUCUCAGCACGACGCAGCUCACGUUGCGGGGUUUCCU
rnacentral:lncRNA from 1 species